GGGUUUUUAACUUAGAUUUGGGUGGCGGACGGGUGAGUAACGCGUAAAGAACUUGCCUCACAGCUAGGGACAACAUUUAGAAAUGAAUGCUAAUACCUGAUAUUAUGAUUUUAAGGCAUCUUAGAAUUAUGAAAGCUAUAAGCACUGUGAGAGAGCUUUGCGUCCCAUUAGCUAGUUGGAGAGGUAACAGCUCACCAAGGCGAUGAUGGGUAGCCGGCCUGAGAGGGUGAACGGCCACAAGGGGACUGAGACACGGCCCUUACUCCUACGGGAGGCAGCAGUGGGGAAUAUUGGACAAUGGACCGAGAGUCUGAUCCAGCAAUUCUGUGUGCACGAUGAAGUUUUUCGGAAUGUAAAGUGCUUUCAGUUGGGAAGAAAAAAAUGACGGUACCAACAGAAGAAGUGACGGCUAAAUACGUGCCAGCAGCCGCGGUAAUACGUAUGUCACGAGCGUUAUCCGGAUUUAUUGGGCGUAAAGCGCGUCUAGGUGGUUAUGUAAGUCUGAUGUGAAAAUGCAGGGCUCAACUCUGUAUUGCGUUGGAAACUGUAUAACUAGAGUACUGGAGAGGUAAGCGGAACUACAAGUGUAGAGGUGAAAUUCGUAGAUAUUUGUAGGAAUGCCGAUGGGGAAGCCAGCUUACUGGACAGAUACUGACGCUAAAGCGCGAAAGCGUGGGUAGCAAACAGGAUUAGAUACCCUGGUAGUCCAC
rnacentral:rRNA from 1 species